rnacentral:rRNA from 1 species
UUUAACGGCCGCGGUACCCUAACCGUGCAAAGGUAGCAUAAUCACUUGUUCUCUAAAUAAGGACUAGUAUCAACGGCAUCACGAGGGCUGUACUGUCUCCUUUCUCCAAUCAGUGAAACUGAUCUCCCCGUGAAGAAGCGGGGAUAUAACUAUAAGACGAGAAGACCCCAUGAAGCUUUAAGCAAUAUAUUCACCUUGCACCAUUAUAUCACCAUAGUAUAAAGACCUGAAUAUUAGCUUUGGGUUGGGGGGACCGCGGAGUAUAACUUAACCUCCACAACAAACGGGCCACGCCCUUAUCUAAGAACCACAAUUCUAAGAAUCAUAAAACUGAUGUUUAUGACCCGAUAAUUCGAUCAAUGAACUAAGUUACUCUGGGGAUAACAGCGCAAUCUACUUCAAGAGCCCCUAUCGACAGUAGGUUUACGACCUCGAUGUUGGAUCAGGGUAUCCUAGUGGUGCAACCGCUACUAAUGGUUCGUUUGUUCAACGAUUAAUACCCUACGUGAUCUGAUUUCAA